UAGAAAUGCAAUGCAGCUCAGGGACAGAGUCAGUUCCUUCUAUUCUAGAAAGACCUCACAGGGAUGUUUUGUAACUUUAAACAUUAACAAGUCUUUGGAGAAGGUCCUGAUCAAUCACCUGUACAAUAGACUGGAUGUGAUGUGUUUCUGUCUGUUUCAAUUAUAGUGAGUAUUAAAAACACAAACACUUGUUUGGUAUUGCUGAAAAACAUUUUGUGAUUAACAGUCUGUGAGGUCAUUUUGAGAUUGCAGAGGGAGGAAAAUAUUUCAUAAUUAAUGAAUCAUUAAGUAUAUUCAGAUCGUCUGAAGACGUAUUUUCUUCAUUUAAAUCAGCAUUGUCCAGGAGAUCUCUCUUUUGAUCCAGCGAUUCCUGACUGUCUGCCUCUCCAGUUCUUCUUGUAUUACGUUGUCUCUCAGGUGGAUUGUCUUGAGGAUGGCCUUGUGGUUGGUCUAGAGGAUGGUCUUGUGGAUUGUCUUGUGGAUGGUCUUGUGGAUUGUCUUGAGGCAGGUAUUUGGAGUGGAAAUCAGAGGCUGAAAUACUCCACCAGGUGUCCAAAGCUUUUACGUCACCGUUGUUUCCUUCUCCACUGUUGUUCGGUUCCAGCUCAUGGAGAGUGAUCUCUUGAAGGAGAGGCUCACAGAUUGCCUUUGCUCUUUUUUUUGCGAUUUCUGAUAGCUCGUCUUUCAAAUGGCUUCUCACGUGCUCUUCCAAAAGAUCUUCAUAGACCACUCUGUAGUGAGGAGGAGGCUUCAGUUUGGAACGGCAGCUUCCACAGCAUGUCUCAUUUCUGACACAACAGCUGUGAAUGUUUUCACCAAUGAACAAAACAAGAACAAAACAGAAGAUGGCGAUGAGGCCGUAGACCUGGAAAACAAUCACAAAGAGUUAGAGGUGGGAUCUAACACAUCAAAUAGAGGUCAGACUCUCCUUGCAAGGAAUUCCAGUUUGAGAGGCGUUCAGGUUUGUCUUCAGGCACAGGUACCAGUCUCCAUCAAACAGAAUCACGGUGAACCAUGAAACCCCCAAACUGAUGUAGUCCAGGAAAAACUUUAACAGAAUGCAGAGAGAAUUGCUGCUACGCCUACGUAGACAACACCAUCCUGGAAAAAUCCUCAUCUGGUGGAUGGGCUCAGUGAUGUAAACGAACCAGGCAAGAAUCCCAGGAGGAAAAAUGAUGAACAGGACAUCAUUCCGAUGUACACCUGGUCUGCACGAGCACACAAAAUCCCUUUCUAAUAUGUACUGCAGUAUGAAGAGGAGGGCCACCAGCAGGAACGUACUCACAGGAUGAGUGAAAAGUGUCCUGGGUAUUUGAGGGAAACCACUAAUGAGACGAGGCAUGUUGGCCGAAGAUAUCAGAAAUCAAACCAAAUAUAUCUGUUGGAGUGUUUGAAAAGCUGCUCCAGUUCUUUCUCUGACUUUAAAAAGAUCCUGUCUACACAGGAGAUGAAGGUCUCUCAUCAAGAAACUGAGUUAAGAGGUUUCAAAGUUUCCCCCGGAAAUGGAACUUAAACAGAGUGCGACUGUUAAACCACAUUAUGCAAACCCACAUCCUGUUGAACCUUCGUCACCUUUGUCGUGAACAAUACUUUAUUAAAUGCUCUGUGUAAUGCUCUGUAAACAGUGUGACCUCUGGAUGCACUUCCAGUAGAUACACUGUAAAUAAAGUGCACACAGAUUCCCUUUUGUGAAUAAAAAUGUCAUACAGUACCCUAUUGGUCAGUUGACCUCAUUUUAUUUUUGGUUGUUAUUCAAGUUUUUUGACUCAAGUGUAAUACUAAUGCCAGAACCAGGCUUAUGCAACUACCAUAUAUUACACAGAUUGCCAAAGGGAGCUGGAAAACUGAAGCCCUUAAAAACAUAUUUAUUUAUUUUUUGCACAAGUGCCCCAUUGAAUACUGCAAGUCAAAGGGACAGUUUGGGUUUUUAUGAAGCAGAGAUGUUUGAGAUACUUGUGAAUAAUAAGUUCACCAUGCACAGAAGGUCACAGUCAGCAUGGUCUUGGUUUGGAGAAGCUGGCUGGAGUCGGGUCAAGGUCAGGAGAAACACCAACUUUAGUGAUUAAACACAGUCCUUCAUGUAGAACUGCCUUUCAGAUGAAGUGUACGCUUAAUUCAUGGAUAUCUUCACUGCUUCAUUGUGACAUUACACACCCUUUGCCUUUAACACUGUUUCUACUCAACAAUAAAACAGCCCUGUAUACCUA